UACGUAGGGUCCGAGCGUUGUCCGGAAUUACUGGGCGUAAAGAGCUCGUAGGUGGUUUGUCGCGUUGUUCGUGAAAACUCACAGCUCAACUGUGGGCGUGCGGGCGAUACGGGCAGACUAGAGUGUUGCAGGGGAGACUGGAAUUCCUGGUGUAGCGGUGAAAUGCGCAGAUAUCAGGAGGAACACCGGUGGCGAAGGCGGUUCUCUGGGCAUUACCUGACGCUGAGGAGCGAAAGUGUGGGGAGCGAACAGG
rnacentral:rRNA from 1 species